CAAGACGUUGCAUGAGCUCCAAAACCAUGAGUUUCUCUGCAAACGGGCGAAUUCUAAUCUUACUCUAAUACACUAGACAACUCGUUUAGCCAGAGUCGCAUACAAGACGUUGUAUGAGCAGUUUCUCUGCAACGGGCGAAGGUUACUCAAUUUUCAUCCUUUUAAAACACUAGACAAUUCGUCUAGCCAUCAGUUAGUUAGCAAUACCGAUCUACAAAAGUGUAAUUGUGGUCAGUAAGACAUUCGGUAACCUUGCAGUGAAUAGUGAGUAUUCCCAUGUGAGUGCAUCCUGAUAGAGCCAAAGGGUGCAACGGGGUACAAGGGCCGCGUGUUCCUCUACCCUUCACAACACGUAGCGCCAGCCAACCGCUGAUGGAACGUUGAAGGAAACGUGCUUAGCACUUUUUGGUCCAACUUCUACGCAAACAUAGAACUUCCCCUUCUAUUCUACAUGAAUACAAACAAGAAAAGUUAUGAAAAUAAUGGAAGUCGCUCAAAACCCAAUGUGCUGAAAGUAAAAGUAAAGUUAUAUUUUUUUGGAUACGAAACAUUAGAAUCAUGUAUAAAGUAUAUUAUGUAUUAUUCCAGCUGCGGUAAUAACAGUAACUCACUUUGCUUUGCGAAUUGCUUCAAUUUAUUAAACAGAAUCGUAACUAGAAUAAUCUACUACUAUUAAACCGUAAGUUUGUUAUAAAUUUCAACUGUAAAAAUUUCACAAAAUUGUUGUAGCUAGACAUUAAAUUUAAUCUUUAGGACUUUCAUGUUAGUGUUACGAUGUUUUGAGGAAAAACCAUAUCAAAUAAAUUCGUUCAUUAUUAGGUA